GGGGAAUAUUGCACAAUGGGGGAAACCCUGAUGCAGCCAUGCCGCGUGUGUGAAGAAGGCCUUCGGGUUGUAAAGCACUUUCAGCGAGGAGGAAAGGGUGGAAGCUAAUACCUUUCAUCUGUGACGUUACUCGCAGAAGAAGCACCGGCUAACUCCGUGCCAGCAGCCGCGGUAAUACGGAGGGUGCAAGCGUUAAUCGGAAUAACUGGGCGUAAAGCGCACGCAGGCGGUUGGAUAAGUCAGAUGUGAAAGCCCCGGGCUCAACCUGGGAACUGCAUUUGAAACUGUCUGACUAGAGUCUUGUAGAGGGGGGUAGAAUUCCAGGUGUAGCGGUGAAAUGCGUAGAGAUCUGGAGGAAUACCGGUGGCGAAGGCGGCCCCCUGGACAAAGACUGACGCUCAGGUGCGAAAGCGUGGGGAGCAAAC
rnacentral:rRNA from 1 species